rnacentral:lncRNA from 1 species
AUAGGUUAUAGCAAUAUGGUAAUUGCUUCACCUUGCCUUCUGAUAGGCUGGAUGCAAUUGUGGCCAUAUUGCUUAUACCUAUUCAAUCAUUUCUGAUUCACAGGAGUGUUUAGGCCAGGGUGUAGGAUUUAGGGGUCAAUUUGGAAUUAGGAAUCAAAUGUAGUUCAUGGGUUUACAGCUGUCCUUAAUUAGCCAAUGACAUUAGAAGGGUCUGGGGAUUUGUUUAAAAGGAGCAACCAAAAGCCUGCCAGAUACAGCAAAAGGGUUAUUAUGCUAGGGCUUAUACUGACCAUUAGUUCUGAUUACUGGGGCGGUUUUGAAGUGCAAAAGUGUACAUGAUGAUUGGAAUCGCUUUCAGAGUUUCUUGGCUUUGUUGCCUGCUAAUUGGAGGGAUAACCUGUUCUACAUCAAGUGAUGGGUAUCCUGCACUAGGGUCUGAUGCAGCAUGGCUCUAUGCAGGCUCACUUGGGUCUAAAGGAUAUGGUAAUUACAGCUCUCCAACAGCUCAAAUGCAAGCGCAGCUGACCGAAGGGCAACAGAAACAUCCGGCUGCCAUCCUGCAAAAACAACUGGUCCCCAUGCCCCAGAAGCAACCAGCUACUGAACUUCAGCAUCAGAAGGAACAGGCCUCCAUACCCCAGCUACCUCAGCAAGUGUGGUAUCCAGUUCAAAUUCCCCAGCAGCAAAAGCAACCAGCUACUGGUCCUCAGCAGCAGAAGGAACUGACCACCAUGCCCCAGAAGCAACUGGCUCCAAUGCCUAUACCGCAGAAACAACCAACAGCUAUGCCACAGCAAGCAUGGUAUCCAGCCCCAAUGCCGCAGAAGCAACCGGCCGCCAUGCCCCAGCAAGUGUGGCAUCCAGCUCAAAUGCUGCUGAAGCAACUGACGCCAUGCCCCAGCAGUGUGGUAUCCAGCUCAAAUGCCCCAGAAGCAAUCGACCGCCUUGGCCCAGGAAGUGUGGACUCCAGCUCAAUGUACCCAGCAGCAGAAGCAACCGGCUGCUGAAACUCGGCAGAAAAUUGAACCGACUGCCAUGCCCCAGCCACCUCAGCAAGUGAUGCAUCCAGCUAAAUUUCCCCAGGAGCAGAAGCAACCAGCCCCAAUGCCUUUACCGCAGAAGGAACUGACCGCCAUACCCCAGCAACCUCAGCAAGUGUGGCAUCUGGCGCAGAAGCAACCGGCCCCUAUGCCCCAGCAGCCUCACGACGUGUGGUAUCCAGCUAAAAGGUCCAGAAGCAACAAGCCUCUGCAACUGACCG